UCGCGUCAUUCCUUCUCUCUCGAUUCACCGCUUGUCUCUCGCCUCACUCCUGAAUCUCUCUAUCUCCGUCCUCCAAUCUGUCAACAACCCUAAAUCCUACAAUUAUUGAAACUGUUUUUCUUUCUAGAUCAACUAAUGAUGUAUUUCAGAGACGUAAUCGCGAUGCCAAUUCUGAUUUAGUCUUUGAACAUCAACCCUAGGUCUAGGUUUCGUAAUUUCCAUGGAUUAAAAGCUCAGUUCUGGAAUUUUGGAGUAGCGAUCAUCGUCUUCAGUUCAUAAAAUUACAAUGAUUGCACCGUUGAUUUGAGGAAGCAGUCGAAAAUCUUAACUGAGAUAAAGCAGGAAAAUUAAGAAGGCUAUUAUUAAGAGGCAUAUAAGAACUGAAUAGAAGAAGACAUCAUCAGGAGAAGGAUGUGUUCCUUCCUUGCGCUAAUAGUCAAGAUUGGAUGUGUUUCUUCCUCUUGUUAAUAGUCAAGAUUGAACCGACUGUGCUGCAUAAAAUUAUGGUAUGCAUUUGGAUUUUACCUAUAUUUGCAGCAAUGUGUUUCUCAUGCAGCACAUUGCAACCAAGCUUCUUUGUUCAUUGAAGCAUCCUCCCGACCUGUACAAAUACAUUUUUACAAACAGUUUGCAGUUGACUGAUUUCCGUGACAUAUUUUGAGGACAUAUUUUUGGUGCUGGUGUUAUUCAUUAUUGAUAAUCUCUGGGUGAGUCUCUAAAGGUCAUUCGACCUCUUUAUAUAGAGGUGAAUUGAAUCAGGAGCCUUAUAGAAAAACGAAAAGGCAAGCUUUGGAACAAUGAAGCAUCAGAUUAUGUUUAUUUAAAUUAAAUAAUUAACCACUUCAAAUUUGUAAUUAAGAAUGCAAACGAUUCAUUUUCCCAUAUUUAUUCGAAUAUUGUGCUUCUUGAAUGUUUAUUUAUUGGAAGUUUCACUGGCA